GGAGGAUUAUCAUCUUCAUUGACGGAACGCCGACGCAUGUUGGAGACGGACUCAUCAACAAACAUCUCCAGAAAUGACUGGAACACAAGGAAUGAAAAGUCAGACAACUUGCCUCGAACUCCUGUGGAACACUGAACUUGACUCUUCCAUCAACUGCAAUCACAACACAGCAAUAGUUGAAAACUUUUAAAAGGUGGGCAUUCUUCUGUACUGUCCUGUUGUCAAUACAUCCACAGCAACAGGGAGAGAGAAAUUGGGCAAACUACAGAAAAAACCAA